rnacentral:lncRNA from 1 species
UUUUUUUUUUGGUAAAGAUGGCAUCCCCAUUUCCAUUGAUCAGAUGGAAAUUCCAGAGUACAUACAAUGAUGCAACAGAAACAGAUAGAGACCCACACAAUUCAGUUUCAAAAUUUAUGAAUUCAAGUGGAUAAAUGGCAUCCUGACCGUACCUCCAUGAAAUCGGAAGGCACAGUCCAAAGGCGGACCCACCAGCUGAAUAGUGCUGUUGGGUCUGACCAUGGAUCCACCUAAUAGUGCAUCCCUUAAUUGCAUAAAUACGACUACUUAUACCGAUAAAAGCAUAGUGAGGCUAAUUUUGGUACUUCUAUAAUCUAUAUCUAUAGGUAAGUACGUAACCAUACUAGCAUAAAAGGCAUGAAUCAAGCCAAUCCAGGGUUUAUUGUAUACCCUGUAAGCAUCAACAAUUGUGACCACUCUCCUAGAUACCCCUAUUUUAGAUUAAAAGCAUCUAAAGAUUAUGUGCUGCACUGAAACAUGGUCAACACUAUAGAUUCUUCAAAGUAAAAGGCAUAUUGACUAGAAAAUGUGGGUCAGAUUUUGAUGCUGCAGUUCAGACUUGGACAACACACACACAAACACAUAUGGCAUAGCAUAAAUAAAAAUAAUUGAUAUUACUCAUGCAUAUAUCAUCCGAUAUAGAUUAGAAACAUCUGCAGAUUAAUAAAUGUAUUGAAAUAUAGUAGACGAACUACUAAAAAGUAAAGGAUCAUUUUGACUUAUCAUGAUGAUGUUUUGUAAUUGUUCGUGAAAGUAUGCACGGCUCCAACAAUAAGGCAAAUAAAUGAAGAGCGCCAGCUGCUCUAAAAGAGAAAUCUCAAGGCAAUAAGAACACCCUUUUUUUCCUUGGUACCAGUAAUUGAACCCCAUGUAGGAACAUAUAUAUAACAUAGUGAGCGAGUUGCUAAAUUUUCAUCAAUUGCUUAGAUGCAAAAGGGUAAAUAAUGGGGAAAAUUAAUUUCUAAGCUCAAGGUCAUCUUCUAGGACCAAAAAUUCACCGACAAUGCUAACAGGCAGAAGGACAUAGCAUCCAAUCAAACUAUGAUCAUAUGAAAAAACACUAGUCAUACAGAAUGCAGAUUUCUCUCAGAACUUUCACGCAAUAACCAUUCCAGUCAGUAUAUUAUUUAUUGCUGGCACUGGCAUAAAAUAUGCACAAUCCAUUCUGUACCAUUCAUAUUGGUGGCAUAAACUACCACGCUAACUCGCUCUAACGUAUAACAACAAUAAGUAUACUGAUAAACUCAGCUAACUUCUAUACAAAUUGGAACUUAUGCAAGAACAGACUAAACGUGGGGCGGAUGAGUCGACACUCCAGAUUUUUGUAAAAUAAACUGCACAUGAUCGUGCCCACGAAGAAUAGCAGCCUAAUCGAACUAUGGAUGGACUAGAAUAGCGCACCAGGUAGCAAGCAAAUCCUCCACUAGCUGAGUGUACAGGACGUAAGAUUCCGAUUUGAUUGCUCACAGUCGCAGCAGUCAAAACGGCCCCCGAAACAGCACGAAGUCGAAGAACAAUCUACCCAAGCAAAGCAACCAAGCAAGCCAGGGUCACGUACCAGCAAAAACGAAGAAACCAGUCCAGGCCCGGAUGGAUCUCCAGUCCACCCCAGUCAGGUAGCACUAGAGCGGGCAACAGAGGUGGAGGUGGUUGCCACCUCCCGCCCAAGCAGCGAAGCUGGCGGCGGAAGGAGACCUGGCCCGCCGCACCCGGUCGCCUGCAGGCACCGAGGCUCGCCGGCGCCGAGGCACGGCAAAUCGCGACGGAGAGAAAAAACACACCGACGGCGGACGAAUUCGGGGAGGAAUCGGGCAAGCAGGGCGGGCGCGCGAGCGGAGCGGAGGAGGAAUCUGGGGAGGGAUCGGGGGGAGGACCGCGCGAGAGGGGAAUGCAGGACGCGGGGGGCGGGGGAAAAAGGGGGGGAAGGGAAGGAAAGGAGACGACGACGGGAGAGGAGGAGCCGGGGGAGGAGGGAGGGGGGCAGUUUUUGUUCGCCCUGUCUGCUGCUGCCUGCUGCUGCUUGCGCGAUGCGCAGUGCGAGUGGGAUGGGGUGGGGGGGAGUGUGCUGCGUGCGCCGCGCCGCGCUGUGCUGGGACGGGACGGGGGGAGUGAGAGGGGGAGGGAGGCGAGGGGGGAUGGUUGGUGGUGGUGGCGGCGAGAAUCUCGUGCGGCUCGGGAUCCCUGUGGGCUGUCCCUGCCGUGGGUGGGGUCCGGCGUGCCUGCUCUUUGUGCCAACCGCCGAGGUUUAACUACGGUGUUGCUGUGCAUGUGCUGCGAGUGUUUAAGCUUGUGAGAAGGCUAUGAUUAGCGGCGGAUCAGACGCGAUGGCUUGCCGGGCCUGCCGGCGGCAAAAAAAAAGGGGGGGGGCUUUUUCGGUGUGUUUUUAGUAUAUAUUCCCAUGUGUUUUUAAGCAUAAUAUAUGUUCCUGAUGAUUAUGUACUUGUGUGCAAAACAUUGUUUUCGAAGUAACGAAAAUGUGAGUGGUACAGCAAAUGAGAAAUUUGAAUGUGCUCUUGUGAUUUGACGUUAACUGGCACGAAGGAAGCAAUUUAGCUUUAGGUUACUCUCAAUAAUAAUGUGUGCUGGUAGUUGCUACUAGAGUUGUAAGUAAAAUCAAUACCAAUAGUAGCUGCAUCAGAUAAUGCAUAUGAUCUGUAUUUCUUUCUCGUAUUGUCUCCGAGGUGAUUGUGCAUUUGUGCUGUCCCAUUUUAGAAGUUCCAUUAUUAAAUAAAAGGCAUAGAUCAAUACUAAUUGGAGUUUAUUCGGUGCAACGGUGCGGUGGAGACACAAGGCACAUUGCUUUGUUUUUCCUAUACUUUUCAGAAUCCCCCUCCCAGUAUGGAAGCACAGCUUCAAAGAUCCAACAAGCAGUGGCGAGGCAGUUCUCAAACCCCAUGGGCCAUGGGACACAUGUACACUGGUCCGUUUAGAAUUUUCAGCAAAUAGCUUAGCUGUGUUUUCUUUUUUGUUUGUUUAUUGCAAAACCUUCCAAGAAAUAUAUUAGCCUUGUGAAGUCACCACUAUACUCCACCGGUGUUUGCUUUUCUCACGAGGCCUUGUCCCUCCCACCUAUGUACACGUUUUUCUUGUAUGUCUCUAUAUUUCCUUCUUUUAAUAUACUCCCUCCGUCCCAAAUUGUAAGUCAUUCUAAGAAUCUUGGAGAGUCAAAGCAUCUCAAGUUUGAUCAAAAUUAUAGAGAAAAAUAUAAAAAUUUAUGACAUCAAAUAGAUAUACUAUGAAAAUAUAAUUGAUAAAGAAUCUAAUGAUAUUUAGUUGACAUCAUAAAUGUUAUUAUAUUAUCAUAUAAAUUUGGUCAACCCUGAGAUACUUUGACUCUCUAAGAUUCUUGAAAUGACUUACAAUUUGGAACGGAGGGAGUAACAUGUAGCUCUUCUAGUGCUUCGCUACAAAAACUAUCUUCAUGUAAGAGCCAAAGACUUUGCUUGAAAAAGGUAAUAAAAUUUAAGCACUCUUGGACAAUAUUGACAUAUUGUAGCCUCUGGCUUGUAUGGAAUCUUGUAGUAAAUCUAUGAAUUAGGGGUGGGGAUGGGGGCAUCUCGUAUUCUCGUGGAUGAUUUGGAAUCUUGGACAAUUUGGAAGGAAUUAGAGGUCAGGACUCCCUAUUUUAAUUCCACAGGCGUUUGACAAGAGAGUUUCUACCUGUGGAAGUUGGCAUCUGAUAUCUUGGAGGAGGGCAGAAUAUGGGCUUUUCCUGCUACGGCCUACGGCUUCCUGCUCGGGCAAGCGUUGCUGUAUAAUCUUUUUGUUUUGGUGCCCACCCGGUGCUGCGGGGAAUGGGAUGCUCUAGCUGUAAAACUCAUGAUUUUCACUAAACGAAACAUGUGUACAGGCACAUUCUUUGAAAAAAAAAUUGAGCAUGUAAGCUCAAUUGCUCGAUCAUAGCUCCUUUAGAACCGGGGGAGAGGGGACAUGCAAACUCCUGUGUCUUCUUUUAUUGUAAAGGAUGAGGAAACAAAAAUAUCAAUAAGCUAUGUACAUCAACAACUCAUAGAUUUAAAAGAACAUACUAGGUCUAAGUGAAAGCCAAGGCAUGUAGUAUGUGAGCCUGGCAGUAAUCAAAGGCAAACAUACAGCUUUUCAUAAAAGUCAAUUUCAACUCAACAGAAUGGAAGUCUGCAUACCCCAUCAGUUAGGACAUUGUGCACUUUGCUGGUUUUCCUUUCUCGUAUCUGGAUCUUAGCUCUUUGCCCUGCCAGUGGAUAUGGCAUAGGCAACAUUUAGCUGCCAAGUAAUUUCACAAAGUAUCACACUGGUGGAGAGCGGUCCGCAAAUUUGAGGGUACGCCGAUGCAGGCGAUCUGCUCCCUACUCUUGGGAGAUUUUGAAGGAACGCAAUGCACGAAUUUUUCAGCGAACUUAUUCCCUCUCACUGCGAAGAUCAAGGAAGAGGCGUUUGCCUGGUGCUUGGCUGGUGCAAAACGGCUUAGAGAUGUUGUCCCUUUAGGGUAGAGCUCGGGUUGAAUGUUUUUCCAUUUCCCUUUUCUUUUAAAGCUUGUAAAGUUUUGAUCCUCUUCUUUAUCAAUACAUGACGAGCAGUACAUUACUGUCGGCCGCUUCAAAAAAAAAACAUUUAUCUGCCAAGUUGUUGCUAAUGCUAUUGGCCUGAUGUAGGAAGAGGGGAAUGUGAGGAGGAAAAUGACAGCGAAAUUACCAUUAGCAAGACAUUAUUAGUUAGAUCCUUACCUUUAAGGCGUAGGGGUGGAAUUGAUCAAAACCACCUAAAAGAAUAAUCAGUUCCGCCUUUUUGAAAAGGAGGUCCGUUACUAUUGUGUGACAUGCAUACUCUUUUUAAGCCAUCUUCGUGUCCGCAAUGGAGAUGACCUCAUCUACUCCCUUCAUUCCAAAUUAUAAGUCAUUCUAACUUUUUUGGAAGGUCAAACUAUUUUAUGUUUAGCUAAAAUUAUAAAGUGUAUCACAAAAGUUUAUGACACCGAAUAGAUAUACUAUGAAAAUAUAUUUAAUAAAGAAACUAAUGGUAAUAUCAUAAAUGUUAAUAUUUUAUUGUAUAAAUUUGGUCAAACUUGAGAUACUUUGACUCUAAAAAAAUUAUAAUGACUUAUAAUUUGAAACGGAAGGUGUAAGUUGGCAAUACCAGUUGCAUUUAGGCCGAUUAAAACUACUCGUUGGUAAAGCAAAACGACCCAAAAAAAACAAAUGGUUGUUUGGCCUUACCUGUGUUAAAAUCAUCUGUGACGGAAUAGGCCUCAUGCCGUGUUGCGCUAGCAAGUUGCAGCAAAUAAAGUCGGCAUCUUGCACCGGCCAAUGCCCUCGUGUCCCCUGCGCUCGCAUUGCACGAGAGAACAAAGAGUUUUUGUAGCGGCAGUUCUCCUUCCCGCUCCGAUGGACCUCCUCGUAGAUAACCUUCAACUAGACGUGUCCGGAUCUUUAGUCCGGAUUAAAAUUCAUGUUACAUCGAAUAUUUGGAUGCUAAUUAGGAGGACUAAAUAUGAGCUAAUUAUAAAACUAAUUACACAGAUGGAAUCUAAUUCGCGAGAUGAAUCUAUUAAACCUAAUUAAUCCAUCAUUAGCACAUGUUUACUGUAGCAUCACAUUAUCAAAUUAUGAACUAAUUAGGCUUAAUAGAUUCAUCUCGCAAAUUAACCUCCAUCUGUGCAAUUGAUUUUAUAAUUAGUAUACGUUUAAUACUCCCAAUUAGUAUUUAAAACAAACUCCCUCUCUGAGAGCACACGGCAUGCAUGUUGACCAUUGCCGUAUCGAGUGGUUAUUACAUUCAGUCUCUGAAUGAAAUUUCUGCAACCCUGACAGAAACCAGACAGACGUUGUUUUGGUCGGCCAGCUGCACACCCUCACUGACAAGCAAGAUUGAUGCAUGCUGCAGUAGAUCGUACAGUUGCAGCAACCAUAACCAACCGUUGAACCAGAACAAAGAUGACUUGAUCGAAUGCAGCGCUAAGCAACCACAUCUGAACAACCCAACGGUCUGGACUUCGUUUUCUCAAAUCCUUCUGAUCCGGACGUGACCGUCGCUGUCGCGUGCCACACGAUCCAUAAUACUAAUGCGUAGUAUUUGAAUGGAAACAUCGUUGUCGUCACAAGAAGAGUGUAUGCAUAACGAACCCGCAGCUGCAGGCCGGAAUCAGAAAUUCAGAAUGAGCUUGUGGCACGGUCAGUCGGUCAGCGACAUCGGCGUCGUCGCCUUUAUGCGCCUGCAAUUCCCAGUAGCUCUUCACCUGCAUCUGCAGGCUGCGUGCGUGCCUAGGUCUUCACCGGAACGGACGGCGCCAACAAAUGCCAUCAAUUCGAGACACCGAUGUGUGCCACUCCCUCACGAGCGAGCGAGAAAAAACGCCAUCGAAUGAUCGGUACAUGCAGAACGGAGGUUCCUACGAUUUCUAUUGCUUUGUAGCAAUGGAAAGCAACACGAUGUCCGUGCCAUGCAUCGGCCACUGAUGAGACAUGAAGAUUGCAGCCCAUGAAAAUGAUGGUCCCAAACAAGCAAACAAAGUUCAGUACACGUUUACUUUACAUGUUUGUUGCUUGUUGGUAAAUUUGACAACUCUCUAGGAAUAGAUUGGGGAAAAAACAUGAAAAAGAUUCAAAAAAUAGUAGUAGUAGAACAGCUGGCCGGUCACCAACACGAACUGCCUCCAACAAAUAAUCUGCAGCACUCGAUCCUGAAUUAUUACUCUAUUUUUUUUACCCUCCCCUUUUCUUUCACCCCUUUGUAGUAGACGUAGUACAUGCCC